GGGUCAGUAGGUUGGUCGUGCCACCGGUACGUACUGGUCUCACUAAUUCCUCCUUCCUGAAGAACCGUAAUGCCAUUAAUUUGGUGUUGCGGGGAAACAGGACUGUUACUUUGAAAAAAUUAGAGUGUUUAAAGCAAGCUAACGCUUGAAUACAUUAGCAUGGAAUAAUGAAAUAGGACGAUCGAUCCUAUUUUGUUUGUUUCUAGGAUUGACGUA
rnacentral:rRNA from 1 species